AUGCACGACAUCUUUGAUGACCAGGAAGAGUUUACAGAAAUACCUGACAAUUUUAGCAAUCUGCCUCAGGAGCACUAUCCUCUUACUAUAACAUAUCGAAAGUUCUUGAUGAUGCUUGAUGGAACAUUCCGGAUAUCAUUUUUUGAUGUGUUUUAUGGUGAACUUAAGUCUAGCAUUGAUAGACGGCAUUCAAACUCCCGAGCGCUGCAAACUUUUAUUGAAUCGAAGGAAGUUACCUAUGAGAAAUUUGCUGCUUCCUAUUGGCCUCGUUUUAAUGCAGACCUGACGAAGAAUCUUGACGCAUCCACUGUCUUCACUGAAAUAAUUUCUCAUAUAAAGGGUAGGUAUCAAGCAAGCAACCCAUAUAUUGGCAAGCUUGGGAGACAAGAUUAUGUGAUGCUCUCAGACAAAAGAUUUUCAUCUCUGAACAGUGAGAAGAGAGAUAGGAUUUAUAAUAUUUUCAAUACUUAUGAGAGUAUGAAAUCCACUGCCAGAGAGUUUGAUUUAUCAGAUUUUGUCAACAGUCUUCACAUCAGUCUUGUAUCAGAGGGCUACAGUGGAGAUCUGGUGGAUUUUGUAUACAUAGAUGAGGUGCAGGAUCUAACCAUGACACAGAUUGCACUUCUUAAGUAUGUCUGCAGGAACUUCAAGGAAGGCUUCCUUUUUGCUGGUGACACUGCACAGACUAUAGCAAGGGGUAUCGAUUUCAGGUUUGAAGAUAUCCGUUCACUUUUUUAUACUGCAUUUCUCUCCGAAAAUGAGGCGUUUAAUCAAGGAGUUCAACAUGGGAAACAAGUCCAACUCUCUGAUAUGUUCCAACUUACUCAAAAUUUCCGCACACAUUGCGGCAUCCUUGACAUGGCAAAAAGUAUCAUGAGCCUUCUCUACUUCUUUUUCCCAUCAAGUGUUGACAAGCUUAAUCCAGAGACUGGACUAGUAUAUGGAGAAGCUCCCGUGCUGCUGGAGUCUGGUAAUGAUGAAAGUGCAAUUAUGACUAUAUUUGGAGAAAUCAAAAGUAAGCAUGGUAACACGCAAGGGUUUGGUGCUGAGCAAGUCAUAUUAGUUCGGGAUGAUGGUACCAAAAAACAAAUUGUUGACCUUGUUGGCAAACAGGCUCUUGUUUUGACUAUUGUUGAAUGCAAGGGCCUUGAGUUCCAGGAUGUGCUGCUGUACAACUUUUUUGGCUCAUCGCCUUUGAGGAACAAAUGGAGAGUGCUGUACAGCUACAUGAAAGAUAAAGAUAUUAUAGCACAGUCUGAGGAGAUCUCUCAUCCGGAUUUCGACAGAAGCAAGCAUCAUCUUCUCUGCUCAGAGCUGAAGCAACUCUAUGUUGCAAUCACACGCACGAGACAAAGACUGUGGAUAUGUGAGAAUACAGAUGAUUAUUGUCGACCAAUGUUUGACUAUUGGAAAAAGUUGCGUCUUGUAGAGGUUAGAUUACUUGAUCCUUCCCUAAUUCAAGCAAUGCAGACAGGAAGCAGUGCUGAUGAUUGGAGACUACGGGGAACCAAGUUAUUCAACGAGGGGCAAUUUGAAAUGGCUACGAUGUGUUUUGAAAAGGCUGGUGAUGCAUACAGAGAGAAGUGGGCAAGAGCUGCCGGACUUGUAGCAAUUGCUGAACGUGCCACGUCCUCAAAUUUGGAGAAUGGCAAGGCUCCAAUGCAGAAAGCAUCAGAAAUCUAUGAGUCCAUAGGCAUGCAUGAGAAAGCUGCUACAUGUUAUAUCAAAUUAGGCGACUACAAAAAAGCAGGUAUGCUCUAUGUGCAAAAAUGUGGUGCUUCCAGGCUUGAGGAUGCUGGUGAUUGUUUUUCCAUGACUGAGUGCUGGUUAGAGGCAGCUAAAGUGUUCUUCAAAGCUAAAUGUUACACCAAGUGUUUAUCAAUGUGCUCGAAAGGAAAACUAUUCGAUCUUGGCUUGCAGUUCCUGCAACAGUUGAAGGAGGAACAUUUGCUUGAGAAUUCAAAAUCCUUGGAGGUUUCUGCUAUUAGAAAGACUUAUCUUGAAAGUUGUGCUCAGCAUUAUUCCGAGCACGGCGACAUAAAGCAUAUGAUGCCUUUUGUUAGGGCUUUCAGUUCUAUGGAUCAUGUACGGGCAUUCUUGAAGUCUAAGAAUCUUCUUGAAGAACUGUUUAGCUUAGAGGUGGAUAGGGGUAAUUUCCUCGAAGCUGCCGGAAUAGCAAAGCAAAAAGGACAUAUCAUACGGGAGGUAGACAUGCUCGAGAAGGCAGAUCAGACUGAGGAUGCAACGCGGCUUCUCCUCCUCCAUAUCAUUGCAGAUUCCUUUUGGUCUUCAAAUCGUAGAGGGUGGCCUCCCAAAAGAUAUCCAGAGAAGGAACAGUUGCUUGCAAGAACCAAAGAGAUGGCGAAAAAGGUCUCUGAGUGCUUCUAC
rnacentral:rRNA from 1 species